CAAAAGCAUAAGUGAGACAACCAACUGUUGAAAAAGGCAGUUAGCUACAGCAGUGACUGGAAACCUGCUGUCCGGGUGUGUAAAAAUACACACAGAUCAUUCUGGUCAAACUAACAGUACAGGAAAUAUUCAUUUAGAGCUGAGAGCAUCAAACACAAAUAGAGUUUAACCCGAGUGCUGGACUUUGUGCUGAAACUGAGAGAGAGAGGAGAGGAGAAUGGCUCUGAGCACUGAGCAAGCUCUGGCACUGCUACUGAUCUUAAACAGCGCUCACCUCACAGCAGCUUGCCCUGCACCAGACCAUGUUGAUGUCUCUGGCUCAGCUGGGGGGAGAGCAGUGCUGCCCUGUUCUUACACCCCCACCCCUGGGCAGGAUGUAGCAGUCAGAUGGUAUGCAUAUCCAGAUCAGGGAGGACCUGUUCUAUUAAUCGAGUCAAAGAGACGAUCCUCAGCACCCAUCCCUGCGCAGUGGAGCGGCCGAGUGAAGCUGCCUGAUGAAGUCUCCUCUGGAAACGGCUCUCUGCUAAUCUCUGAGCUCAGACUGGAGGACACUGGGGAUUACACGUGUGACAUGUGGAUCAAUGGGAUAUGUGUCACUCACAGGAAUGUUAACCUGACAGUUCAAGGACCUCCAAAGAGAGAUUCAACUACCUCAAGAACAACGACGAGCACAACCCCGACAACUAGACCAUCAGCCACCCCGACAACUAGACCAUCAGCAACCCAGAAAACCAGCCCAUGCUCAACCCAGCAGGGGAAUGCAGCAGCACAGAGGAGAUCGUUCUGCAUGAAACCGCUUUGAUAACUGGAUUGUAAUUGGAUUGCAUGUACCUGUAUUUAGUGAGUGUUGUGAGUUAAGCGGAAGUUCAAUUAUUCCUGUGUGUUGCUGCUGCUGGUUCCCUAUGCCAGUAUGGUCCAUUGUGAAAGAGUAUUGCUGUUACUGUAACCCGCUGCAUCCUGCCUGUGCCUGCAUCUCUUCAUUUCUAUAUCAUUUUAAUAAGAGCGUUUUAGCAUUUUGAUAUAUUUCAGGUUCUAUUCAUCCCUGAUAGCUAUUAGUUUAUUUUUUGUAUAACUUAGUUGGUGCUGUUUACUAUAGAUAAUUGUUAAUAACAGUUUUAUAUUAGUGAUGAGAAGACAGUUUAGUAAUUUGUAUUAAUUUCUUAAUUUUUUUUUAUUACUGAUUGAAAAGUACAUUUGUUAAUUUUUUGCUUAGUAUAACUUAGUUAUUCCUGAUUACUAUUAAAUGUUAGUUGCACAGUACAAUAUCUUAUUGCUUUUCCUUUUUUGCUUAUAAAUAAUAAAAUAUUUAGCUGUG